GGCUCGCGCGGCAGCGGCCGUUUGAAUGCUGGGCGGGGCGGCCUGGUUGGGAGGCGCGUUGCUGACUGAGGUCCAGGGAGCGCAGGGAAAGAUACCAGCUGUCAUCUCCACCCUUGAAUCAAUCAUAAACAUCAUGCUACUGCAGCCUGUGGCUGCAGUAAACACUGUAGAAGAGCAGAGGGCCCGCUGGGAGAGGAAACGUAGCCGGACAGCCAAGGAACUGGUGGAAACAGAGCAGAAAUACCUAGAGCAGCUGGACUUGGUUACCACAUAUUUUGUGACAAUUCUGAAGGCCAAAGGGACACUGCAGCCAGCUGUGCGGGAAGGCAUCUUCGGGCUCCUGGAAUCCAUAUAUUGCACCAGCCAGAUUCUGCUGCUUCACUUGGAGAGAGGGCACUUGGGGCUAGGAUUGGAGGGUUUCUGUCAGAAGCUGGAGCUCUAUGGCCACUAUGCUGAAAACUUGGAGCAAGCUAAGAAAACCCUGCAGGAGCAGGUGAAGAAGAAUAAGGCAUUUUGCCGGUUUAAGAAGCUUCAAGAGUCUCGACCUGAGUUCCUGGGAUGGCAGUUGGAGGAUCUGCUCCCUCUGCCACUGCAGAGGCUCCAUCAAUACAAGCACUUGUUCAGAGACCUGAUGGAGAACACCAGCCCGGAUAGUGUGGAGUUCCAGUACCUUGCAAAAGCUGUGAAAUCUGUUUCUGACGUGUCUCAGUGGGUCCACAGCACAAUUCGCAGCCAUGAGAACUCAAUGCAACUGCUUCGGGUCCAGAAACUUCUCAAAGGACAGAAGACCAAGGUGCUGACUCCAGAGCGCUGGUAUAUCCAAGAAGGCUGGCUCAUGGUGGUGCCCACAAAGGGUGAAGAAGUGAAGCGUAAGAUGUUCUUCCUCUUCUCCGAUAUCUUGGUUGCGACGAAGCCCUGCCACCCACUGCAUCCUCUGAAUUCAGACAAGUUUUCUUGCCAGGCAAUCUAUCCACUUAGCCAGUGCACAGUGGACAAAGUGUUUGGCCAUACCCAGAGCCAAGGAGGGCUGCUCAGUGUAAGUUUCUCUCAGUUUCUGGCUGCAGCUCCUACAGCCCUCAUUUCCACCCCCACCCACAAAUACAUCCUGAUCUAAAAUAGAAUUAAUGUGAGAGAGGAUAGUGGGUGUAACUGACCCCUGUGGUUGAGGCAGUGAUGGGGAGAGCUAAGGUGAGUCUCUUAAUUGUUGCAGGAGCAGCAGACUAGAGAGGCUAGAUUGUACUAGGGAGGCUUCACUGCAGGUGGAAGAGUGAGGGAGUGAAGAGCCCACAUCACCUCUGUGGGAGGCACAGUUCCUCUCUGACCUCCCUGGUGUGCAGCUUGCUCCCACUACUGUACUUGGUUUGCUCAGGGUAGGGGCAUGGCCCCUUGCCCUCUUAGGAGUGCACAGAGGAAGCAGUGCCUGGGCUCUGCUCAUUGUGCUGUCCCUGUGCAUCCACAAAGAGGCUACUUCCAAACUGGCCCCAAGGCAGCAUGGAAAGUAAAAAGCAACAGAGUGGUCACUAGGGCUUUGGCUCAUCUGAAAUCGUGCCAGAUAACAUGUGGAGAGAUUCUUUGGAACUGUUGCCAAGGGUGGAGCUUGUCCUCCUGGCUGCUUUUUCUUUCUCCCCCAUGUCUUUUCAGUGAAGGAUCUGCCUUUUGGCUGCAAGGACUUCUCCUGUUAGGGGUUAUAAUACCUUGGGUAGAGGCAUCCCAGAGGUCAUUUGAAGUGCCUACAGUUAGAAAAAUGUCUCCCGACUUGUCCCAAUAAUGCUAAAACAAAUUGCUCUAUUUACAUUUAAACUAAGACCCCAUGCUGCCAUUUAUAGUUACUUCUGAGAAGAGAGCCACAUUAAAAUGCAGUACAGGGAGUGAGGUCUCCUGGGCCCUACUGGAUUCACCACAGACUUGCUCUGUGAUCUCUUGAGCAAUAGGCUUCCUUUCUGGGCUAGUUUCUCAAUCUAUAAGGUAAAUCUGUAAAUGAAGACGCCCCUAUGCUGAGAGGAGAGCUUUUCCUGUCAGUAUAGUUAGCUACCACUUCUUGGGGAGGUGAAUUAUGUCAGUCGGAGAAACUCUCCUGUUGAUAUAGCGCUGUAACAGCAGGGAUUGCUCCGUAAGGGCUGGAAGGCCUGGGGCUAGCCAGCCCUUAUUAGUACAGAGGCACACCUGGAUUAGAUCAGUUAAUCCCUUAUAUAAAGUACAAUAGUGGCUGCAGUGAAGUGUGAAGCUCAAUAAAUUGAAAGAAGAAAGAGGCUUCUACAGAGAAGACCUUGACACCAGGAGGUUUGGAACCCGAGCUAGAAACCUGAGGCUCAAGACACAUAGGGCCUGCAUGUGGCCUGCCAAUAUAGGAAAGGCCCCAGGCAGGUAGGCCUGGGCACAGGGUAAAUUGGAGCCUGCUGAGAGUGAGUAGGCUCUAGCCAAAAGAUCUGGGAUGUAGGAUUUCCCUGCUGAGACUAGAGCCAGGAAAAGCCUGGGGACCCAACAAGAAGGUAAAACCAGUGGAGCGUUUUAGAACUUGCAGGGGAGUUUUUGAACUUUAUUAUGUGAACAAACUUGGACACAUGCCCCCAGAAGGGGUGAUGAAUGGACAAAAAAAGCCUAUGUGGAGUUCAAGAAACCAUUUGAGGGGGAAUCUGAGACAGGCUGCCCGUAGUGUAUCCCCAAGGCCAUGACGGCGCACAUGCUAUGCAGCUACCCGCAUUACAAGGGAUUAUAUUUAAGCAGUGACUGCAAUCUGUAUAAAACACCAUUGUGAAAACCCCAGCUCUAUGGAGAGCUCUGUGGCAAAGGCAGGCAAGAUGGGACAUGGUGGGAAGACCAGAAGGAAUACCUUUAAAGAGAGUUUAUUUUGGAUCACUCCUUACGAGCUGUAUGGGGGAAGUAGAGUCUGACCGCAACUUGAACUUGGGGUGAGUAGUGGAUUGGAUAACAAGGAUGCCCAAUUCAGUGGGGCAGCGUGGACUAAGGGACAGAUACUGGAGUAUGAACAGAGUAUCAAGGGUGGCAUUGACUUACUACCUCCAUAGGGUGCUGGGAGGAAUAUUUAAUUGCGUGAAGUAUUUUGAGAUCAUCAGCUGGAACGGAACAGAGUAGGGCAGGUCUGCUUCUGUGCCAGUAGAGGCUCGAGCUGGACAGCCCUGUUGCUUUUCUAUUGCAAAAGGAAGAUUACAGAAAUGUGUAGGAUGAGAUGAGGUGCUGGUUGUUUCUGUGGCAGGGCUGCUGUCUGGGGAAAAGGAAAUGUUAAAGAUGGGUGUUGGACUCAACACCUUUCUCCUUCUGUUCUGUUCCUUCCCCGUGAAACAUCUGGCCCUGGCUGCUGCUGCUGGAAGACAGACUAGAGGGAUCAUUGGUCUGACCAAGUGUAGCUAUUGUGUUCUCUUCUUUCAGCUCUCCUUUCCCCACAAGACACUGCUGCUGAUGUCGAGCAACCAGGAGGAUAUUAACAACUGGUAUCUGAAUCUGACAACUGCUA